AAUUCAUUUUGGGGCUAAUUCCUUAUCAAUCCCUUAUAGCGUUCCCAUGCUUCGUAGAGUGACUCCCCCUGUUGUUGCUCGAAAUUCGCUAUAGCAUUCUUGAGUUU